rnacentral:rRNA from 1 species
CAGCCGCCGCGGUAAUACGUAGGGUGCGAGCGUUAAUCGGAAUUACUGGGCGUAAAGCGGGCGCAGACGGUUACUUAAGCAGGAUGUGAAAUCCCCGGGCUCAACCUGGGAACUGCGUUCUGAACUGGGUGACUAGAGUGUGUCAGAGGGAGGUAGAAUUCCACGUGUAGCAGUGAAAUGCGUAGAGAUGUGGAGGAAUACCGAUGGCGAAGGCAGCCUCCUGGGAUAACACUGACGUUCAUGCCCGAAAGCGUGGGUAGCAAACAGGAUUAGAUACCCCAGUAGUCCCUGUCUCUUAUAC